CACGGCAGGCGGGUUUGUUAAGUCAGAUGUGAAAUCCCCGGGCUCAACCUGGGAACUGCAUUUGAAACUGGCAAGCUAGAGUCUCGUAGAGGGGGGUAGAAUUCCAGGUGUAGCGGUGAAAUGCGUAGAGAUCUGGAGGAAUACCGGUGGCGAAGGCGGCCCCCUGGACGAAGACUGACGCUCAGGUGCGAAAGCGUGGGGAGCAAACAGGAUUAGAUACCCUGGUAGUCCACGCUGUAAACGAUGUCGAUUUGGAGGUUGUGCCCUUGAGGCGUGGCUUCCGGAGCUAACGCGUUAAAUCGACCGCCUGGGGAGUACGGCCGCAAGGUUAAAACUCAAAUGAAUUGAC
rnacentral:rRNA from 1 species